UACGUAGGGUGCAAGCGUUGUCCGGAAUUAUUGGGCGUAAAGAGCUCGUAGGCGGCUUGUUGCGUCGAUUGUGAAAACCCGCGGCUCAACCGCGUGGCUUGCAGUCGAUACGGGCAGGCUAGAAUUCGGUAGGGGAGACUGGAAUUCCUGGUGUAGCGGUGAAAUGCGCAGAUAUCAGGAGGAACACCAGUGGCGAAGGCGGGUCUCUGGGCCGAUAUUGACGCUGAGGAGCGAAAGCGUGGGGAGCGAACAGG
rnacentral:rRNA from 1 species